GAUGAACGCUAGCUACAGGCUUAACACAUGCAAGUCGAGGGGAAACGGCAUCGAAAGCUUGCUUUUGAUGGGCGUCGACCGGCGCACGGGUGAGUAACGCGUAUCCAACCUGCCCAUCACUUGGGAAUAACCUUGCGAAAGUAAGACUAAUGCCCAAUGACAUCCCACGAAGGCAUCCGAAUGGGAUUAAAGAUUUAUCGGUGAUGGAUGGGGAUGCGUCUGAUUAGCUUGUUGGCGGGGUGACGGCCCACCAAGGCAACGAUCAGUAGGGGUUCUGAGAGGAAGGUCCCCCACAUUGGAACUGAGACACGGUCCAAACUCCUACGGGAGGCAGCAGUGAGGAAGAUUGGUCAAGGGGCGAGAGCCUGAACCAGCCAAGUAGCGUGCAGGAUGACGGCCCUAUGGGUUGUAAACUGCUUUUAUAAGGGAAUAAAGUGGGUCACGUGUGACUUUUUGCAUGUACCUUAUGAAUAAGGACCGGCUAAUUCCGUG
rnacentral:rRNA from 1 species